rnacentral:rRNA from 1 species
UUUAUGGAGAGUUUGAUCCUGGCUCAGGAUGAACGCUGGCGGCGUGCCUAAUACAUGCAAGUCGAGCGAACGGACGAGAAGCUUGCUUCUCUGAUGUUAGCGGCGGACGGGUGAGUAACACGUGGAUAACCUACCUAUAAGACUGGGAUAACUUCGGGAAACCGGAGCUAAUACCGGAUAAUAUUUUGAACCGCAUGGUUCAAAAGUGAAAGACGGUCUUGCUGUCACUUAUAGAUGGAUCCGCGCUGCAUUAGCUAGUUGGUAAGGUAACGGCUUACCAAGGCAACGAUGCAUAGCCGACCUGAGAGGGUGAUCGGCCACACUGGAACUGAGACACGGUCCAGACUCCUACGGGAGGCAGCAGUAGGGAAUCUUCCGCAAUGGGCGAAAGCCUGACGGAGCAACGCCGCGUGAGUGAUGAAGGUCUUCGGAUCGUAAAACUCUGUUAUUAGGGAAGAACAUAUGUGUAAGUAACUGUGCACAUCUUGACGGUACCUAAUCAGAAAGCCACGGCUAACUACGUGCCAGCAGCCGCGGUAAUACGUAGGUGGCAAGCGUUAUCCGGAAUUAUUGGGCGUAAAGCGCGCGUAGGCGGUUUUUUAAGUCUGAUGUGAAAGCCCACGGCUCAACCGUGGAGGGUCAUUGGAAACUGGAAAACUUGAGUGCAGAAGAGGAAAGUGGAAUUCCAUGUGUAGCGGUGAAAUGCGCAGAGAUAUGGAGGAACACCAGUGGCGAAGGCGACUUUCUGGUCUGUAACUGACGCUGAUGUGCGAAAGCGUGGGGAUCAAACAGGAUUAGAUACCCUGGUAGUCCACGCCGUAAACGAUGAGUGCUAAGUGUUAGGGGGUUUCCGCCCCUUAGUGCUGCAGCUAACGCAUUAAGCACUCCGCCUGGGGAGUACGACCGCAAGGUUGAAACUCAAAGGAAUUGACGGGGACCCGCACAAGCGGUGGAGCAUGUGGUUUAAUUCGAAGCAACGCGAAGAACCUUACCAAAUCUUGACAUCCUUUGACAACUCUAGAGAUAGAGCUUUCCCCUUCGGGGGACAAAGUGACAGGUGGUGCAUGGUUGUCGUCAGCUCGUGUCGUGAGAUGUUGGGUUAAGUCCCGCAACGAGCGCAACCCUUAAGCUUAGUUGCCAUCAUUAAGUUGGGCACUCUAAGUUGACUGCCGGUGACAAACCGGAGGAAGGUGGGGAUGACGUCAAAUCAUCAUGCCCCUUAUGAUUUGGGCUACACACGUGCUACAAUGGACAAUACAAAGGGCAGCGAAACCGCGAGGUCAAGCAAAUCCCAUAAAGUUGUUCUCAGUUCGGAUUGUAGUCUGCAACUCGACUACAUGAAGCUGGAAUCGCUAGUAAUCGUAGAUCAGCAUGCUACGGUGAAUACGUUCCCGGGUCUUGUACACACCGCCCGUCACACCACGAGAGUUUGUAACACCCGAAGCCGGUGGAGUAACCUUUUAGGAGCUAGCCGUCGAAGGUGGGACAAAUGAUUGGGGUGAAGUCGUAACAAGGUAGCCGUAUCGGA